UACGGAGGGUGCAAGCGUUAUCCGGAUUCACUGGGUUUAAAGGGUGCGUAGGUGGGUCUGAAAGUCAGUGGUGAAAUCUCCGGGCUUAACCUGGAAACUGCCAUUGAUACUUCAGGUCUUGAAUUUUCUGGAGGUUAGCGGAAUAUGUCAUGUAGCGGUGAAAUGCUUAGAUAUCGUAAGGAAGACCAGUGGCGAAGGCGGGUCUCUGGACAGUUCCUGACGCUGAGGCACGAAGGUCAGGGGAGCAAACGGG
rnacentral:rRNA from 1 species